ensembl:Y_RNA Y_RNA Y RNA
GGCUGGUCCAAGUGCAGUGGUGUUUACAACUAACUGAUCACAACCAGUUACAGAUUUCUUUGUUCCUUCUCCACUCCCACCGCUUCACUUGAUUAGCCUUUU